rnacentral:rRNA from 1 species
AUACGUAGGGGGCGAGCGUUGUCCGGAAUGAUUGGGCGUAAAGGGCGCGUAGGCGGCCCGGUAAGUCUGGAGUGAAAGUCCUGUUUUUAAGAUGGGAAUUGCUUUGGAUACUGUCGGGCUUGAGUGCAGGAGAGGUAAGUGGAAUUCCCAGUGUCGCGGUGAAAUGCGUAGAGAUUGGGAGGAACACCAGUGGCGAAGGCGACUUACUGGACUGUAACUGACGCUGAGGCGCGAAAGCGUGGGGAGCGAACAGGAUUAGAUACCCUGGUAGUCCACGCGGUAAACGAUGAAUGCUAGGUGUUGCGGGUAUCGACCCCUGCAGUGCCGGAGUCAACACAAUAAGCAUUCCGCCUGGGGAGUACGGCCGCAAGGUUGAAACUCAAAGGAAUUGACGGGG